rnacentral:rRNA from 1 species
AGUGAACGCUGGCGGUAGGCCUAACACAUGCAAGUCGAACGGCAGCACAGUAAGAGCUUGCUCUUACGAGUGGCGAGUGGCGGACGGGGGAGGAAUACAUCGGAAUCUACUUUUUCGUGGGGGAUAACGUAGGGAAACUUACGCUAAUACCGCAUACGACCUACGGGUGAAAGCAGGGGAUCUUCGGACCUUGCGCGAUUGAAUGAGCCGAUGUCGGAUUAGCCAGUUGGCGGGGUAAAGGCCCACCAAGGCGACGAUCCGUAGCUGGUCUGAGAGGAUGAUCAGCCACACUGGAACUGAGACACGGUCCAGACUCCUACGGGAGGCAGCAGUGGGGAAUAUUGGACAAUGGGCGCAAGCCUGAUGCAGCCAUACCGCGUGGGUGAAGAAGGCCUUCGGGUUGUAAAGCCCUGUUGUUGGGAAAGAAAAGCAGCAGGUUAAUACCCCGCUGUUCUGACGGUACCCAAAGAAUAAGCACCGGCUAACUUCGUG